AACGAACGCUGGCGGCAUGCCUAACACAUGCAAGUCGAACGAGACCUUCGGGUCUAGUGGCGCACGGGUGCGUAACGCGUGGGAACCUGCCCUUAGGUUCGGAAUAACUCCCCGAAAGGGGUGCUAAUACCGGAUAAUGUCUUCGGACCAAAGAUUUAUCGCCUUUGGAUGGGCCCGCGUUGGAUUAGCUAGUUGGUAGGGUAAAAGCCUACCAAGGCGACGAUCCAUAGCUGGUCUGAGAGGAUGAUCAGCCACACUGGGACUGAGACACGGCCCAGACCCCCAGGGGGGGGAGAGGGGGGGAAAUUGGGACAAGGGGCGAAAGCCUAAACCAGAAAGGCCGGGGAAGUGAGUAAGGCCUUAGGGUUGAAAAGCUUUUUUACCCGGGAUGAAAAUGACGGUCCCGGGAAAAAAAGCCCCGGCUAACUCCGU
rnacentral:rRNA from 1 species